GGGUCAGUAGGUUGGUCGUGCCACCGGUACGUACUGGUCUCACUGAUUCCUCCUCCCUGAAGAACCGUAAUGCCAUUAAUUUGGUGUUGCGGGGAAACAGGACUGUUACUUUGAAAAAAUUAGAGUGUUUAAAGCAAGCUAACGCUUGAAUACAUUUGCAUGGAAUAAUGAAAUAGGACGAUCGAUCCUAUUUUGUUGGUUUCUAGGAUUGACGUA
rnacentral:rRNA from 1 species